UUGUUUUGUUGCCAUGGCACCCAUUGUAUAAAUGUGCUUGCAAUUGUUGUUCUUGCUUUAGUUGAAAUAUGUAUGUCUGAGGAAGUUUGACCUUGGUCAGACGAAACGUUACAGAAAUAUAUUUGUGUUAGUGUGCAGCAAGACUAUUUAUUGAAUUACUAAACUGCAUAAUGUUUGUAUCUGACACUAGUAUACUCCAAUACUAAAAUCAAAUUAGUGUUACAUUGGCUAAUAAUAAGUGAAGUACCAUAUAUGAUUUACAGUGUCUCAGGGAUAUUUUGAUGUCCCUUGUAAUGUUUUUUAUUCAAACUAGUGAAUCAGCAUUAUCACAUUCCUGGUUUGUACUGAGAAUUUACAAGAUGACCCCCUGUUUAAAUAACAUUUUAUUCUUUUAUUUAUGUAAGAGAUAAAUGACUUCCAUAUUUGAUGUAGGUUCACACGCAACACAAACAGAAUGUUGUGGUUCAUAUCCAGUGUUGUGACGAUCGUCCAUUUUACGAUAUAAUCUAGUUCCCAAAAAACACAAUUUGAACCUUUUGUUUGUCGGUAUUUGUUUACAUAUGUUAUACAGUCGAUAAUGAUGCCGUUUAUAACUAACUUAAUAAUUCGGGUGAUAAACAAAUUAUAGAUGUUGUUAUACAUACGAAUGAAUAAAUUGAAAGCCAAGUAAGAGCGGAUGGGGAUAGUUCUGGCCUGGGAUGUAGCAAAUCUGUCUCUUGUUCUUCCCUUGUGGAAGUCGUACCCUUUCAGUUGAAAAAUACCACCACAAAGAAAACAUAGGAUAAAAUUUGUCAAAUGAGUUGAUUGGAGCAAAUCUAUCUUUUUAUUAAGAUAGAAAUAGAGACUGGAAAUGCUUUGCGUGAUAAGGAGCAAGAGAAAGAGAAGUUGUUGAAGAAAAUUAAGGACGAAGAAUCAACAAAGAAGAUUUGAAGAACUUGAUUUUUUGCAUGAAUUGUUACCCCUAUAUGGAAUAUUCCUCAAUAAACUUGAAGGGAAAAUUUACGAAAAGAAGAAUGAGCUUUACAGUGACAAAUACUUUAUAAAUGACUCUAUGGUUUUGUAGGAUUGACGUCUUUCUCUGUGUUUUUAAAUGUAUUUAUUUAUUGGUAUAAAGUACGUGUGUUGUUUUGAAAUGAUUACAAAUACGAGACAUCUUGA